AUUGAACGCUGGCGGCAGGCCUAACACAUGCAAGUCGAGCGGAUGAAGGGAGCUUGCUCCUGGAUUCAGCGGCGGACGGGUGAGUAAUGCCUAGGAAUCUGCCUGGUAGUGGGGGAUAACGUCCGGAAACGGGCGCUAAUACCGCAUACGUCCUGAGGGAGAAAGUGGGGGAUCUUCGGACCUCACGCUAUCAGAUGAGCCUAGGUCGGAUUAGCUAGUUGGUGGGGUAAAGGCCUACCAAGGCGACGAUCCGUAACUGGUCUGAGAGGAUGAUCAGUCACACUGGAACUGAGACACGGUACAGACUCCUACGGGAGGCAGCAGUGGGGAAUAUUGGACAAUGGGCGAAAGCCUGAUCCAGACAGGCCGCGUGUGUGAAGAAGGUCUUCGGAUUGUAAAGCACUUUAAGUUGGGAGGAAGGGCAGUAAGUUAAUACCUUGCUGUUUUGACGUUACCAACAGAAUAAGCACCGGCUAACUUCGUG
rnacentral:rRNA from 1 species